rnacentral:rRNA from 1 species
AUUGAACGCUGGCGGCAUGCCUAACACAUGCAAGUCGAACGGAAACGAUGGGAGCUUGCUCCCAGGCGUCGAGUGGCGGACGGGUGAGUAAUACUUAGGAAUCUGCCCAUUAGUGGGGGACAACAUUCGGAAACGGAUGCUAAUACCGCAUACGCCCUACGGGGGAAAGCGGAGGACCUUUCGGGGCUUCGCGCUAAUGGAUGAGCCUAAGUCGGAUUAGCUUGUUGGUGAGGUAAUGGCUCACCAAGGCAACGAUCCGUAGCUGGUCUGAGAGGACGAUCAGCCACACUGGGACUGAGACACGGCCCAGACUCCUACGGGAGGCAGCAGUGGGGAAUAUUGGACAAUGGGCGCAAGCCUGAUCCAGCAAUGCCGCGUGUGUGAAGAAGGCCUGCGGGUUGUAAAGCACUUUCAGUAGAGAAGAAAAGCCUACGGUUAAUACCCGUGGGUCUUGACGUUACCUACAGAAGAAGCUCCGGCUAACUCCG